AAGAUAUACCUUGAAACACAAAAAGAUUCCUAUUUUUCCAUAUGCACCGUACUAGUAAACCAAAAAGAGAAGACCAAUGCACCCCGUUUCCCAACGUCCAACUAGACAUUUCUAGAUUUGAUCUAAUCCACUCUGAGAGAUUUUUGAAAAAAAAAACUAUGGCUGAUAAUUCCUUGGCACAAAGCACUUCCAAACAUUUUUAGUAUUCGGGCAAUCUCUAAGGACAAUGUAAAAUAUCUUCAAUCUCGUAAUGGCACACUGGGCAGGACGUACUUUAUCCAAUGCCCCUUCUACCCGUUCUUAGUUAGUUAGUAGUCUUUGUUUGUAAACGAGCCAUAAAAAGAAGUGAACACGAUGUGGUUCUUUAUACUUCUAGACGACUUUCCACUUAGUAUCCUUUGCAUCCCACAUAUCUGCUUUUAACAUAUAAUAGGCACUUUUAACUAAAAAUCUUCCAUUUGUUGUAUGUACCCAAAUGAUUUUAUCAGGGCCAGCUAGAGGGUAUAGUGGUAGGAUACUUGCGAUCCUUUUAACAACUUCUUCCGGCAAACGUUCCUUAAAAGCCUCCAUAUUCCAUGCUCCAUCCUCUACUACCAUAUCUUUAAAAAAAUAGACCGUGAUAGGCCUGUCUGUGGGAGGGUACAUACAUCUUUAACGGCCUUACUUUUAGGAUCCAAAAAUCUUCCCAACAGCGGACUGAGGUUCCUAUUCCAAUGUUUCAGCACAAGUUUUUCUUCAGUAGUGGCCACACCUUUUUAAUCCCUCUCCAAAUAGCUGAACAACUCCCUCUCUUGAUAUCUUCAGUGAUCCUUUCUUUUAACCUAUAUUUUGACUGUAAAACCCUGACCCAUAAAUCCUCUUUUUUGGUGACAAAAUUAUACCUUAAUUUCAAUAAAAAAUAGGCAUUCUGGUCUUCUAAAUGCUGAAGCCCAAGCCAGCACAUAGGUGAGGUUAGUAUACAAAGCCCCAGUCCACUAGUGCUAACUUUCGUCUACCAAUAUUAGAACCCCAUAUGAAUUGCCUUGCCAAACAUUCAAUCUCUUCACAUACUUCUUUUGGAACUUGCAUAGAUUGCAUAAAGUAAUUUGGAAUAGAUAGAAGGACCGAUUGUGCCAAAGUGAACCUUCUUACCAUAAAGAGUUGUUUUGCAUCCCAAUUGUAUAACUUAGCUCUGACCUUUUCAACUACAAAUGUAACCCCCUUAACCCAUACUUAUCGUCGAAAUAGGUUACGGAGUAUUACUAGAGUUUACAGAAUAAUUACACUUAAUUCAUGACAUUUACUCUUCAUAUCUUAAACCAAUCAUAUUCAAUCAUAUUAUCCCUUAAAUGGACCCUCGAGGCCCAAUUUAUGCAUUUGAAACAAGUCGGGACUAGAUCGGGAACUCAAAGAAUUUUUCGCAAAAUUUUAAAAAAAAUUUUAGAUGUAGGGGACACAUGCUCAUGUGGCCUGGCCGUAUGGCUCACACGGCCAAGUGACACACCCGUGUCCCAAGCCAUGUGGGCAUUCAUUGUGAAGCACACGGUCGUGUCUCAGCCCGUGUCUAUACCCGUGUAACUCUCUGACUUGGGUCACACAGCCAGCCACACGCCCAUGUGCUAGGCCGUGUGGACAAUUUAAUUUUUAAAAUUUAGGUACAAGGGACACACAGCCAAACCACAGGCCCGUGUCUCUACCCAUGUGGAUGAAAAAUAAGUCAUUUUCAGGCUACUUUUCUCACCCAAUUUGCCUUUCACCUACAACAACACUUAAACAUGUUCACCAACUAAUUCAAACCAUUCAAAUCAAGCCAAAUUCAUGUAUUAAGUAUGAUGUAAUAUCACCUAUAUGCAUAUUGGACUUAAUAUGCUAACUCAAUCUUACCAUCAAUAUAACAAUAUGCUUUUCAACACUUAACCAUUUCAAACACAUUCCAAGCAUGAUAAAGCUACACACAAAUAUAUAUACUUUUGCUUCAAAAUAGAACUAUUACAAGCCAUUCCAAUGUCUAGUUCCAACCAAAAUAUUUCUUCAUUAUGCUUAACUUAACUUAUACAUCCCAUUAUACCAAAAGUUAGUUUGUUUUAUAUACCAAGAAGUCCGAGGGAUAGUGUGAUGUGUCUCCGACCAAGUUCCAACCUUCACGAGCUUCCGAGUACUAUAAAAUAGAGGAAAGAAAACAGAGUAAGCAUAUUAUGCUUAGUAAGUUCGUAUAACGGAAAAUCAACUUACCAAUCAUUUAUAUUUAAGAUAAGCAUACAAAAUUCAUCCAAAGAAAUUUGGCAAUUUGCCUAAACACAUAUAAUCUCAAGAAACUUGUUAGUCACAUAUUACAUGUAAACAUCAAGAAUCAAGGAUGAGCUCAUCAUAUAAUAACUUUCAUAUACAUAUGCUUUUCAUUUCAUAUUUCUAUAUAACAUGUGCAUUUCCAUGAAAAAUCAUCUUAAACUCAGUUUAAUCAUGUCAGACUUUACCCGUUGAAUUUAUUUAAAAUAUUGAUGGAUACACAUGUAGUACACUCGAAGUGUACAAAACUGUAAUCUGUCAACUCAUAUACAGGGGUACCCAUUAGGGCACAUAAUCAGGAAGCACUCUCUCGAGCCAUAUAACAGAAAGCUCAUGUGAGCCAUGUAAUAGGAAGCUUAUCCAAGCUAUAACAAGAAACUCAUAAGAGUUUAAAACAGGAAGUUUAUUGAGCUUAAUAGGUAACUCCAAAGAGUUAUUAUCAGGGAGCUCCAGAUAGCGAUAUAAUAGGAAGUUCAAGCGAGUCAUAUCAAGAAACUCACAAAGAGCCUAUAUCGGGAUGCUCAUAAAGAGCUGUGGUAUGUUCGCAUUAUAUGUAGGAUCCAUACCGAUCAUAUAACAGGACGCUCACAAAGAGCUGUGGUAUACCCGCAACACAUGUAGGAUUAAUACCGAUCGGAAUGCUCGCAAGAACCAUGUAACAGGAAGCUCGAGAGGUCUUAUAAUAGGAUGCUCAUAAGAGCUAUGGUGUAUCCGCAACAUAUGCAGGACCACAAUCAAUACGGGAAACUUAUAUCUAUCGAUUAUCAUUUGUUCAAACAGGACUUAACAUUUAUCAUGCAUUUUCGAAUAUUUAAUCACUUUCACAUUCAUGGUAAUUAUACUAUUCACACAUAUAAUACUUAAUUUAAACAUAUAAAUGUACACAACUUAGUUACACGAACUUACCUCGAUAGUUGUUCGUGUUCGUAGGCUACUAAUCCUAUACUUUUUAUUUUCUUCGAUCCAAUUCCGAACUAGGUCUAUCCAAAUCUAUACGAAUGAAUUUAACUUCAUUUAAUACAAUUCACAUUCAAUUCCAUCCAAUUCACAUCCUAGGAAAAGUUAUCAUUUUACCCCUAUACUUUUGAUUAAUUCCAAUUUCAUCCCUAGGCUCAAAAAAUGAAAUUCAUGCAAUUUAAUCCUUAUUCCAAGCCUAGUCGAAUUUUUCAUAUAACAAUAACAGUCCAUGUAUUUCACAAAAAUAAAAAAUUUUCUAUAAAUCUUACAUCUUUUCAAUUUAGUCUCUAAAUCACAAUUUCAUGAAAAGUUCCUUUACAAAAGUUGAUUAUCUAUCAACAACCUUUCUUUUUCUACCAUAAAUUUCAAAUUUUCAGCAUACUCAUCCAUGGAAAAAUUUUAAUGCUUUGCUAACUUUGCAAAUUGAUCCCCAAAAUAGAUAGAUUAGGUUAUUACGAUCUCAGAAAUAUAAAAAUUACUAAAAACGGGACAAGAAUGCUUACCCAAUUAAGCUUGCUUGAUGUCUUUUCUCUUAGCUAGGGUUUCCAUAGAAUAAUUUUGGGGAUGAAGAUGAAAUAGAUGAUAUUUUCCUUAUUUAAUUAAUUAUCAUAUUUUAUUAUUUUUACUUUCCAAUUUAGUCAUUUUUUUAAUUAAAUUUUCAUGGAUGAAUCAUCAUAAAUAUCUACUAACUUCUCUUAAUGGUUUAUUUGCCUUAUAAGGACCUUAAAUUUUGAAUUCCAUAACUAUUUGAUCCUUCUAGCUACUAGAAUUCAACUUUUGUACUUUAUGCAAUUUGGUCUUUUCUAUAAUUAAACAUGAAGUCAGUAAAAUUUUCUUAUCGAAAUUUUCAUACAUUAUUUCUAUCAUAAUGCAGACCAUGCAAUAAUAUUAAAAUAAAAUUUCUUUCCAACUCGGAUUUGUGGUCCUGAAACCAUUAUUCUGAUUUCACUGAAAACGGGCUGUUACAACAAAUCUUAAGGUAGCAUUAGUAAUUCUUUUAUGAAAAAGCGAGAUUCCUAAAUAAGAGCCUAGCUCGUGAACCUUUUGGAACCCCAAAAGCCUAUUCAAUCUGUUACUUAAGUUAUCAUCCACCCUUCAGGAAAAGAACAUAUUAGUUUUUCGUGUAUUAACCUAGUACCUUGAGAAGCUACAAAAUUUAUCCAUGAUGCUUUUGAGUAGUAAACCAUGUUUUAUGUCAGCUAUUGAGAAAAUCACCAAGUCAUUUACAAAUAAAAGGUGUGAUAGGGGAGGUCCUGUCUUUGUUAGCUUAAUAGGAGUCUAUUUGUUGGAGGCCUGAGCUGCUUUGAUGUUAUGCCCUAACCACUCCAUACAUAAAAUAAAUAAGGUGACAGAGGGCAUCCUUAAUGUACUAUUCUUUUUGGUUUGAAUUUCGUUGUGGGUACUCCAUUCCACAAGACUUGCAUUAUGGAUGUUGUAAAUGUAGACAUAAUCACUUUGCGUAAAAAUUCUGAUAUAGUUGUUGCCUGAAUAGAUUUAUCAUUGAAGUCUUAUGAACCUUAUUAUAAGCUUUUCUAAGUUAAUUUUGAUGGUCAAAUACUUUCUACUCUUUCCUAUAAACCCCACCUAUUCUGGUGUAAUAAGCUUAGGAAUCACUACUUUGAUUCUAUUACCUAUAACUUUUAUAACCAGUUUGUAAAGAACAGAACAGAGACUGAUAGGUCGGAAUUGCGAGAUCUCUUCAUGCUGAGAAGUCUUUGAGAUAAGAACAAUGAGUGUAUUGUUUAAUUCUGGAUCAAUAGGCUUGCCUUUGAAAACUUCCUUAACCCAGCCAUAGAUUGUGCUCCCAAUGCUAUCCCAUUGGUUCUGAAAGAAUAUAGCAUGGUAGCCAUCACUACCAAGAGCUUUUAAUAGGGCUAUGUCAAAAGUGCUAUUUUAAUUUCAUCGUUUGAGACUGCUUUCUUUAGAAAGUCGAUGUCACUCUGCUCCAGUUGAAGAAAACGACUGACGGGCAAGUCCCCUAUCCCACUUGGUUUCUCCCCAUACAGCUGUUGAAAGUAGUUUACUGCUUCAAGUUGGAUUUCCUCUGGGUCGUAAAACCAUUCCCCGUUUCUAUUACGUAAGGCAUUAAUGCAUUUUACUUUCCUUCUAUGCAAUGUAUGACUAUGAAAAAACUUCGUGUUUCUAUCUCCCAUUUUGAGCCAAUCGCACAUCGACUUUUGCUUCCAGAGCAAUUCUUCAUGGUUAAGUACCUCCUCAAGUUCCUCUCUUAUGUCCAUCUCCUUUUCAAUUACCGACUCUGAGUUUGACCUCUCUAUUUCCUUCUGAAUAUGACUUAAGAACUGUAGAAGUUUUCGUUUGUGCAUCCCAAUGUGUUCGUAUACAUUCUUAUUCCACUCUUUUAGCCCUGCCGUGAGGUUUCUUAAAGUUUUUGACAUAUCUCCACUAUAACGCCACAUAUCAUUAACAACACUUGAGAAAUUUUGAUGUUGUGUCCACCCAGCCGAAAACAAAAUGGGCGUCCUUUUGGUAGAUUAUUUUAUAUUUUAAAUUCAAUACAGCUACAAUUUUUUAAUGAAAAUAUUUUUUAUAAUUUCAAAAAUAAAUUUUCAAUUUUUUUAUAAAAUUUGUAUAUUAUUAGAAACUUUUUAAAUUUUUUUUUUGAAAUCAUCGUCAAAGAUUUUUAAAAUGAACGCCCAAAUUAGGUAUUAACAUUAUAUAAAACAAGCCAUAUGAUCGUUUUGUUAAGGACUAGAAUAUUUAACAAACAAGUGAUCAAAAUUUAGUCACGUUUUUUAAUUUUUUAUAGCUUAGUGGCCGAAACGAAAACAAAGUAAUAGUUGGGUGAUGCUGAUGUAAUUUACCCAUGUUUCUUUUUGGUACAUGAAUAAUUGCAUCAUAAUGAGAGGUGUUCACGUAGUGGAACGGAACCAUGUCAAGUCAAAGUGUCUUUUUCGUUGAAUUCAAAGCAUAAUUACUUAAUAAUCAUGUUAUUUCCGCAUGUGUUAGAAUUAAUUAACUAAUCAUACCAAGUGAUAUAAUCCUCUUAAGCUUGCUUGGAACAUGACAAACAGGGUAGUUAGUACAAGGUUGUUCCAAUCAGCACUUUCCCGUUUUGCCAUUUUCAGAAAAACACAAAAUGAAAAAUCAAAUUAAUGCAGGACAAAGAAAAAUCAAAUUUAUUUAUGUUUGAUGUUGGAUUGGGGUAUUUGUUUCUUGUUUGUCUUAUUAGAAAAUAUACUUUUUGUAUUUCUAAGGCAAAGUUAGAGAAUGAAGGUUUUUCAUUAAAAAAACAAUGUGGAUUUGCUCAUCAAAAUGAAACAAAAUUAAGGUUCUCCUUUUUUAGAGGUUGUUAGGAAUUUGAGAUUAUUUUAAUUAUACAAUAAUAUUUAAUACGCGUUUAACUAAAAAAUAUAAAUUAAUUAAUGCUUUGUUUGGACAACAUAUUGUUAAUUACAUUUUCUUAUAAUUUGAUGACGAGCUAAGUGUUAUUAUAUCGCAAUUUUCUAUUUUAUUUUUGAUAGUACAAUUUGUAAUUAUAUAAUUAUACAAUUUAUAUAUUUUUUUAAAAUUAAUUACUAUAAAAUAAACAAAAUCUGAUAAAAAAAAUUCUAAACAAGUAACAAAAAUUAAUAUCAAAUAACCAUAUAUAAUAUGCUAAUCCAAGAACAUAAUCAAUAACACGAUUACUAAAAAAAUUGAACAUUAUAUGCAAUUUCAUGUAAUUGCUCUAGCGUUUCAUAUUGUUGGUCUAUCCGCUCUUUAACAUUUAACAUAUAUUACAUUACUCAUUAUCAUCAUCUAUUAAUUGUCUCAUUGAGAUUGCAUAGACCUCUUUUUUUUUUCUUGUACUCUUCAAAGUAUGAAUAUCUCAAUUCUACCUAUGAAUGAGGUUACGAAGUAUGUAACAUGCUAGUACAAUCCAACUUUGUUUUUUUAUGCUCUACUAAGAUGAUUUUUUUUUUAGAAUUACUAAGGUGAUAUUGUUAAUAUGAGAAAUUUUUUUAGAACAACAAAUAUCCUCUAAACCACAUUUCGAAUGUUUAAAUGUCUCCAAUUAUCUCAACCACUUUUCAAAUGUUUAAAUGUCUCGAAUUAAAGAACUCGCAAGCCAUCUCUGGUGCUUGUGUUUGACUUCAUCCUUUUAAAAGAUAUUGUACCCCACAAUAUGGUACAAGAAAAUCUUACAUCUACUACAUAAUAUUUGUGUUCACGAUGCAAAUAAUAUAUAUAGCUUCCAUUAUAAAAACCUAAUUUAGAGAAAGACUUUUGCUAGUUAUAACCCUUUUUAUAUUAUGUAAAUUACUUUUUUUAUUUGAAAUUUAAUCUUACUUUUAUUUCUAGAAGUUUAGACUCUUUACUUUUUUAUUUUAAAAUUUAAACUCAAUUUUUAAUAUUGCUAAAUUUUUUAGUAAAAUAUUUUGAACUAAAAAAAUCCAUUUGAUAAUUAUCGAACAAAAAAUAAUAUUGUAAUGAACCUAAAUUUAAUAAAAGAAUUUUAACAGAAGUUCACUUUUAAAUUCAAAAAGUAGAAAAAUUAAAUUUUUUUUAAAAUAAAAGUACAAAGACUAAAUUCCAAGUGUAUAAAGAAUGUAGAAACUUAAAGCGCAUUUUAACAAUUAAGCUAUGCACUUAAAACUAAUUUAAUUUUACUUUUUUUUUUCUAUUAUUCUCAUAUAUUUAAUUUCACUGCUAUAUUUUAAAUUUUUAACGAAAAACAUUUAACUAUUGAUCUAAUAUAAAAAACUAUUAAAUAUUUGGUACACUAUUAAUGAAGUUUUUAGACUUCACAAGCAAUGUUAUGGGUUGAUAAGUGUCAUAUAGGAGUAUAAUAAAAUAUCAAAAAUAAGUAUUUUUAAAGAAAAGAGACGUGACAAAUUUUUAAGAAUACUUAUGGGAAAAAAAAUACGCUGCCAAUGCAUCAAAUACAAACCCUUAAAAUAUAUAUUAAAAAUAAGAAAAUUAAUCAAGAAGUGUCCUACAGGAAUAUAAAUAUUAAAAUGAAUAAAUAUUAAAAAAAAGACACAUAUCAAAUUUUUAAAACUAUUUGUAGAAUAAAAAAGAUACUACUAGUAUACCAAAUUAUCACCCUAAAAAUAAAUAUGGAUAUAACAAAAAUGAAUUUAUUUUUUACUUGUAUAAAAAUGCAAUAAUUAAUAGUAAACAAAAUUAUUAAACUAUUAGAUUACAACGAGGUAGAAAUAAAUAUAAUAUAUUUACAUUAUAUAUAUUGAUAAUGUAGAAUUGAAGUGUUAGUAUUGAUGCACUCAUUAGAAGGACGUGCCUGCAUUAUACACAUACAUAUUAUAUCUAAAGAGAGUUGUUUAAACUCAAGUAAAUUUAAUGGGUGGAUAACAAUCAAAUCAAUCAAAAGAGUUUCAAUAUAUAUAAUAUGAAAGAAAUUUUGUUGAAAUAGCAAAAUUGAGGAUUUGAAAAUUUUAAUAUUUUAAAUUAUUUUUAAAAUUUUUCUUUGAUGGAUUGAUUAAUUCACUAAUUAAUUAGCUCUUUGCAUAAACAAAUGAUUUUUAUUACCUUUAAAGCUUCUUCUAGACAUUGCACACACAAAAAGGAGCGCUUCUUCUAGACUAGAGGGCCCUACAAUUACUACCUUUUUCUAGAUUUGUAGGUCAAGUAGUUACUUUUCAGUUUUAUUGGCCAAGGAAGGCAUAGGGAUAACCUUAUCCUUAUUCUUUCCUCCCCCUUUGCUUUUGAGUUCAGUUACUUCUCUUUGUCUUCCUACACUUCCCUUUCCCUUUUAACGAACCUUCGCCCCAACUUUCCUUAUGCCCAAACGUCUACUCACUAUACCGAGUAGCGUCAUUAUUUUUAAAAUAAAAAAUAAAAUAAAUUGCACAUGGGAAAAAAAGGUAGAAAGUCAAAUCAGCGUCAAAGGCCACCGCGUUCACACAUGCCCUUCCCACGCGCUUCUCCUUUCUAGCUAACCGUGUGCGCUGAUACGUAUAUAAAGUAAACCCAAAGCCCUCCGUUCCCAUCUCCAAUUUCAGAUCAUCACACUUGCCUUUUUCCCAUUUCGUCAAUCGCGGCAUUCAAUCAAAAGAAACCUUUGUUUAGUUACAUGGAAAUCGGGUCUUUCACAUUUCUUUCUCCUGAAGAUUUUUCUUUUAACAACAACUACAACAGCGAUUUCUCUUGGUUUUUGGAUAUGGAAACUGGGUUCAACGGAAACACCAAGAAGAGGGGUAGAAAAGACUUUGAGGAAUCUCUUGUCAGCGAAAAGAGUGGGUUUGGUGAUAUACUUUCCUCGAUUUUGAUGUUGGAUGAGGAAGCAAAGCAAGAGCAGUAUCAAUGGGUGACUAACCCUGAUCAAGAUAGAGCUUUCUUCCAAGCCAAUUACAAGGGAAAUGUUCAGGAAAUGAAUGGGUAUUUUGAAAACCAGUUUUCUGAAAUGAACCAGUUGGAUAAUUCCAGUAACAAACGCGCCCGCAAAUCUGGUUCACCCGCUGCGGCUGCGACGGUUUCAGCCGGGUCCGAUAAUGUGGGUCCAUCGCAAUCGGGCAGCGGAUCCGGACAGCAAAGGCGGUUAUGGGUAAAAGACCGAUCCAAGGACUGGUGGACUAAGUGUAACCACCCAGAUUUCCCCGAUGAGGAGUUUAAACGCGCUUUCCGUAUGAGCAAAGCCACAUUCAAUAUGGUCUGCGAGGAGCUCGAACCUGCAGUUAUGAAAAAGAACACUAUGCUUCGAGAUGCGAUCCCAGUUCGUCAGCGCGUGGCGGUUUGUAUUUGGAGGUUGGCCACGGGUGAACCGCUUCGGAUGGUAUCGAAGCGCUUCGGGUUGGGGAUUUCAACUUGUCAUAAGCUGGUUCUAGAGGUUUGUGCCGCAAUUAAAACUGUUUUAAUGCCCAAAUUCGUUCAAUGGCCUGACGAAAGCAAAAUGAAGAGUAUCAAACAAGCAUUCGAGUCCGCUGCUGGGAUCCCCAACGUGGGCGGUUCAAUGUACACUACUCACGUUCCCAUCAUUGCACCAAAAGUCAGCGUCGCGGCGUAUUUCAACAAAAAACACACGGAGAGGAACCAGAAAAAUUCAUAUUCCAUUACCCUUCAAGGCGUUGUCGACCAAACCGGAGCUUUCACCGACAUAUGUAUUGGGUGGCCCGGUUCGAUGUCCGAUGAUCAAAUUUUAGAGAAAUCAGCGUUUCACCAAAGAGCCACAAGGGGACAUUUGAAGGACGUUUGCGUCGUAGGCAACAAAGGGUACCCAUUAAUGGACUGGGUUUUGGUUCCUUACAGCCACCAAAACCUCACUUGGGCUCAACAUGCUUUCAAUGAGAAAAUCGGGGAGAUUGAAAAGGUGGCCAAGGAGGCAUUCGCGAGGCUGAAAGGGCGGUGGUCGUGUUUACAAAAGAGAACCGAGGUUAAGCUUCAAGAGUUGCCGAUCGUGCUUGGAGCUUGCUGCGUUUUGCAUAAUAUCUGUGAGAUGAGAAACGAGGUGAUGGAUCCGGAGCUUAAAUUCGAGCUUUUCGACGAUGAGGUCAUCCCUGAUAAUAAUAUAAGGUCCAUGGCUUCCGCACAAGCUAGAGAUCACAUCGCUCACAAUUUGUUGCACCAUGGGCUUGGCGGCCGUGGUACAUCUUCCACUGCUUUUCUAUAGUGUUGAUUUAGGAAUCUUUUCUGUAGUUUGCUUGUUAUUCUUUUGGGGUAUGGCAAUAAAGAUUAUUCCUGAUUUAAUUU
rnacentral:lncRNA from 1 species